AUCUUUAGUAAUAAUAAAAAUCUAUACUUAAAUAUUAAAAGUUAUGUUCUUUAAAUUUUAAGGAUUUGGCAGUAAUUUAGUCCAGUUAGAGGAACCUGUUUUGUAAACGAUACACCACGUAAAAUCUUACCUUUUAUAAAAGCUUGUAUACCAUCAUUAUUAGAUAAUUCUCAUAAGAUUAAUUAUUGUAAUAAUUUAUAAAUUAAUAUAUUAGAUCAAGGUGCAGCCUAUGAAAAGGUUUUAAUGGGUUACAAUUAAUUUUAGUAUAAUGAAUAUAAAAUUUAAAUAUUUUAUUGAAAAAGGAUUUAAUUGUAAAAUUAAUUUAAUAUGAUAAUUUGAUAAUGGAUCUAAAUUAAGUACAUAUCGCCCGUCGCUUUCAUUUAUAAAUGAAAUAAGUCGUAACAUAG
rnacentral:rRNA from 1 species